UCCGAUCCGACCCGACCCGACCCCCUCGAACAGGCGGCGUCGAUGCUCGGCCCGACCCCGUUAGUGCCCGCCAUACCCCGUGCGGGUCGGGCAGCGGCGCCGCUGCAGGCUGGUGCGGAGCUGUGGGGACAAAGCUGUACCUGAGUGAGGGGUGGGCAGGAUGCGGCCCCGUGGAGCUUGACGUAAUAUUAAAAAAUAUAGGCAAUAGAGUUGGUUUAUUCCAUUGUUAUGUUGCUCUUAUGUUGCACUAAUGUUUUGUAUUAGAGUCUUUUAUUCUUUUACUAGACAAGUAGUGUUUAUUAAAUGAAGGUUGUAGGAUUGGGGCCGCUGAGAACAUAAAGCCCUGGGACUGGAGGCAGGCCCAAACCCACGUGGAGCUGACAUAAAUCCCACAGGGAAGGGGAUGGAGCUGCCCAGGGGCUUCCAGCCCAGCCAGGGGGAUUCUCUGAGGGUUCCUGGGGCUCAGAACCAGCCCAAGGACACAUUUUGGGAUGGGGAACCCAGGGCUCAGUGGCUGUUCCUUGCCUCUGUUGCUGGCUGGGGUGGGAUUGUGGAAGGGUGCGUGUUAGGGGUCAGGUCUCAGCAGCAGCACCCAUUUGGGAUGGGUGUGACAGCUCAUGGAGAUACUGAAGGGAUGGCAGUGGCUGAUUUGUGUCCUUGUCAACAGCCCUGGGCUGCAGUGAGCACCAGGAGCAGCCUUCAGCUGGAGGCAGAGGGAAGCUGAGGAGCUGGAGCUGAGGCAGCACAGCUGCGAGGGCCCUGUGCAGUGGAGCAGGACAGGUGUUUUUGGGGCACACAGGACACAUCCCCUGCUGACAUUUGUCAUCUGUAUGGUGAGGCAUCAAUCCAGCUGGAAAACACACAUGAAAACUCCCUGAGGGGCUCACAGAGACAGGAGUUCCCUUCUCUUUGAAUUGCCAUUUGUAUUCCAAGUGUUGUGUAAACAUUAAAUAUUUAAAACAUU